AACCAGUUGAAAUCCUUUUAUUAUUCAAAACUUCGAUCCAUUGCUUUUACUUGUGAAUUCAAAUGAGGUAUUUAAAGAAUGGACACUCCAAGACUCAACGUCUUUACUCUAUUUCUGUUCGAGUCUUUCUCUCUCCUAGAGAAAUUUAUUUAUAAAUGCAUGGGCUCCCUCAGCAUUUUGAUUCACUCUUUUGGUUGAAUCAAAACCAAAUGGGUCAAGAGUAGAUAGGGUUAUGGGGGUCUUUGGGAGUUGCGGCGGGUAAUCGUGCAUGGGUGAGUAGCUCCUGUUGGAGAAGCAGGGCACGUGCAAAUUCUAGCUCAGGCACUCCUCCAUGGGAGCUUAGCUUAAGCUUUAACAAGGCUUUGCACGUGCUCCCCUUCUCCAACACAAGUUUCUCACCUCUCUUUCUUCCUCACUCAUUUCUGCAUGCUCAGCUCGACCAACCAGACCAGCCUUGUGAACGCUAUCUCCCUCUCUCUCUCUCAGAGCAUGAGGAUGUCAAAUAUGGGACGGUGACCAUGAUCACAAAGACACUGAAUUCUGCAUGUACAAGACACAGAUGAGGCGUGCGGUGCUGUCAAAUUUAUGGGCGGUUGUAUCCAUUUCAAGCCCUAAAUUUUUUCUUUAUGUUCCCUAUAACGCUAGCUUGUAUACAUUUCUGCUUCAAUAAUAACCUCACCUCAGCACAA